UCAGGUAGAAGCUGCUCUUUUAAUUGAUUCCAGUGAUGAGGAUUUACUAAGGCUUCAAAAAGAUCUUGAGGAGGUAAUAGCUCUAACCAAUGACCUAAUUCAAAUAAAUGAGGCAGAGGGUAUACCUGAAAAAGAAGCUCCCUCAAAAGCAAUAUGGAAAGUUGGAGAUCGUGUACAAGUAUAUCGAAAAAUUGAUGGAAUGCUUCAUACUGCAACUAUUGAUAUGAUUUCUGAGGAUGGAGUUUCAUGUACUGUAAAGUUUGACAACAGUGGAUUGGUCGAUUUAGUUAAAGUAUCAUUGUUAUCACGAAUUGAAAAAGAAGAUAAAAAAGCUACAAUAGGGACUAAGCCAGUAAAUAAAUUAACCAGGGAAGAACUAGAAAAACGAAAAGAAAUUAAAAAAAAAAAACUUAUGAAAAAGAAGCAAAGAAUGAAGGUUAAGCUUUGUUAUUUCCUUUUAUUAUAUUAUG
rnacentral:lncRNA from 1 species